rnacentral:rRNA from 2 species
UCUGGUGGUCAUAGCGGAGGGGAAACACCCGGAUCCAUGCCGAACCCGGCAGUUAAGCCCUCCAGCGCCGAUGGUACUGCGAUGGGUAAUCGUGGGAGAGUAGGUCGCCGCCAGAA